rnacentral:rRNA from 1 species
AGUGAACGCUGGCGGUAGGCCUAACACAUGCAAGUCGAACGGCAGCACAGUAAGAGCUUGCUCUUACGGGUGGCGAGUGGCGGACGGGUGAGGAAUACAUCGGAAUCUACUUUUUCGUGGGGGAUAACGUAGGGAAACUUACGCUAAUACCGCAUACGACCUACGGGUGAAAGCAGGGGAUCUUCGGACCUUGCGCGAUUGAAUGAGCCGAUGUCGGAUUAGCUAGUUGGCGGGGUAAAGGCCCACCAAGGCGACGAUCCGUAGCUGGUCUGAGAGGAUGAUCAGCCACACUGGAACUGCGCCACGGUCCAGACUCCUACGGGAGGCAGCAGUGGGGAAUAUUGGACAAUGGGCGCAAUCCUGAUCCAGCCAUACCGCGUGGGUGAAGAAGGCCUUCGGGUUGUAAAGCCCUUUUGUUGGGAAAGAAAAGCAGCAGGUUAAUACCCCGCUGUUCUGACGGUACCCAAAGAAUAAGCACCGGCUAACUUCGUG